CUGAUACUGGCAAGAUCGAGUCCAGUAGAGGGGGGGAAGAUUCAAGGUGGAGCGGUGAAAUGCGUAGAGAUGUGGAGGAAUACCGGUGGGGAAGGCGGCCCCCUGGGCGAGGCCUGACGCUCAGGUGCGAAAGCGUGGGGAGCAAACAGGAUUAGAUACCCUGGUAGUCCACGCCGUAAACGAUGUCGACUUGGAGGUUGUGCCCUUGAGGCGUGGCUUCCGGAGCUAACGCGUUAAGUCGACCGCCUGGGGAGUACGGCCGCAAGGUUAAAACUCAAAUGAAUUGACGGGGGCCCGCACAAGCGGUGGAGCAUGUGGUUUAAUUCGAUGCAACGCGAAGAACCUUACCUGGUCUUGACAUCCACGGAAGUUUUCAGAGAUGAGAAUGUGCCUUCGGGAACCGUGAGACAGGUGCUGCAUGGCUGUCGUCAGCUCGUGUUGUGAAAUGUUGGGUUAAGUCCCGCAACGAGCGCAACCCUUAUCCUUUGUUGCCAGCGGUCCGGCCGGGAACUCAAAGGAGACUGCCAGUGAUAAAC
rnacentral:rRNA from 1 species